UAGUAUUUCAGCUCUUUUAGAAUUUGUCUAGUGGGUUUUUGGUUUUCAUUAAAAAACAAA
ensembl:snRNA U7 U7 small nuclear RNA